rnacentral:rRNA from 1 species
AUUGAACGCUGGCGGCAUGCUUUACACAUGCAAGUCGAACGGUAACAGGCCGCAGGGUGCUGACGAGUGGCGAACGGGUGAGUAAUACAUCGGAACGUGCCCAGUCGUGGGGGAUAACUACUCGAAAGAGUAGCUAAUACCGCAUACGAUCUAUGGAUGAAAGCGGGGGACCUUCAGGCCUCGCGCGGUUGGAGCGGCCGAUGGCAGAUUAGGUAGUUGGUGGGGUAAAGGCUCACCAAGCCAACGAUCUGUAGCUGGUCUGAGAGGACGACCAGCCACACUGGGACUGAGACACGGCCCAGACUCCUACGGGAGGCAGCAGUGGGGAAUUUUGGACAAUGGGCGCAAGCCUGAUCCAGCAAUGCCGCGUGCAGGAAGAAGGCCUUCGGGUUGUAAACUGCUUUUGUACGGAACGAAACGGCUCUGGUUAAUAACCGGGGCUAAUGACGGUACCGUAAGAAUAAGCACCGGCUAACUACGUG